rnacentral:lncRNA from 1 species
GCUUGGGAGAGCCCGCGCCCAAUCAUGGGCCUUAGGCUCGUCUUUUAGGCAAUACCCCUAAACCUGUUCCCUCCCCCCGAGGGUAGGUCGCGACAGCUUGGCGACUCCGCUGGGGACUUGGUUUUGAACUUUAGAGGACUUAGGCCAAAAUUAAUCUUGUUCAAAAAAAUAUUUUUGUUUGGCAACGAGGAUUCCAGGUACGUCCCUAACAUUAAAGGUGUUAAAUGUUUUUGCAGAAUGGGAGGUAUAAGGGGAAGUGUUUGCU